rnacentral:rRNA from 1 species
UACAGAGGGUGCGAGCGUUGUCCGGAAUCACUGGGCGUAAAGGCGCGUAGGCGGCCUGGCAAGUCUGUGGUGAAAGCUCGUGGCUCAACUGCGAGUCGGCCAUAGAUACUGCGAGGCUCGAGUCGACUAGAGGCAGAUGGAAUUCCGGGUGUAGCGGUGGAAUGCGUAGAGAUCCGGAAGAACACCGGUGGCGAAGGCGGCCCUCUGGACGGUGACUGACGCUGAGACGCGAAAGCGUGGGGAGCAAACAGG